AAGUUUACUUCAAGCUCCGCAGAAGAGAAUUCUCGAGAAAGUGUUUAUUAAAAAAUAUAAAAUUCCGAGCCCAUACUCCUAUAAAUAGUGAGCUAUUGUCAUUCAUUUGCUUCACACCUUCCCUUCUUCAAACCUCCAAAACCUCUAUAGCUCCAAAUCUUUUGCCUUUAACAUGUCUUCUUCCCAUGGUGCAAGAGAAAUUCUGAUGUCGAGAUGGGCGAGGCCACCUCCCUGGCUC
rnacentral:lncRNA from 1 species